AAGUAAUAACAAAUCAAUAAGAGUUUUAGACUAAAAAUAUGAUAAAAUAAGAACUAAGUAUAAACUCUAAACUCCUAAUCAUCAGCCUCAUCAUCAUCAUCAUCAUCCUUCGAUUGCAUCCGAAUAAGCAUACCCUUUAUCACUUAGAGCAUGGUAGAAUGACGACUAGACUGCUCCUCCAGUGAAGUCAUGCUGGUAUUAAACUCCAUCCUCAGAUUGGCAAUCACCUCUUGUAACUCUGGAAUCCCAAUCGAUAGUUGCUCUAAUGCACUCGCCUUCAAUCUCCUCUUCUU
rnacentral:lncRNA from 1 species